rnacentral:rRNA from 1 species
GAGCGGCGGAUGGGUGAGUAACACGUGGGUAACCUGCCCUAAAGUGGGGGAUAACAUUUGGAAACAAGUGCUAAUACCGCAUAACAACAUUUACCACAUGGUUUAUGUUUAAAAGAUGGUUUUGCUAUCACUUUAGGAUGGACCCGCGGCGUAUUAGUUAGUUGGUGAGGUAAUGGCUCACCAAGACCGUGAUACGUAGCCGACCUGAGAGGGUAAUCGGCCACAUUGGGACUGAGACACGGCCCAAACUCCUACGGGAGGCAGCAGUAGGGAAUCUUCCACAAUGGACGAAAGUCUGAUGGAGCAACGCCGCGUGAGUGAAGAAGGUUUUCGGAUCGUAAAACUCUGUUGUUGAAGAAGAACAUGCGUGAGAGUAACUGUUCACGUAUUGACGGUAUUCAACCAGAAAGCCACGGCUAACUACGUGCCAGCAGCCGCGGUAAUACGUAGGUGGCAAGCGUUGUCCGGAUUUAUUGGGCGUAAAGCGAGCGUAGGCGGUUUAUUAAGUCUGAUGUGAAAGCCCUCGGCUCAACCGAGGAAGUGCAUCGGAAACUGGUAAACUUGAGUGCAGAAGAGGAGAGUGGAACUCCGUGUGUAGCGGUGGAAUGCGUAGAUAUAUGGAAGAACACCAGUGGCGAAGGCGGCUCUCUGGUCUGUAACUGACGCUGAGGUCCGAAAGCGUGGGUAGCAAACAGGAUUAGAUACCCUGGUAGUCCACGCCGUAAACGAUGAGUGCUAAGUGUUGGAGGGUUUCCGCCCUUCAGUGCUGCAGCUAACGCAUUAAGCACUCCGCCUGGGGAGUACGACCGCAAGGUUGAAACUCAAAGGAAUUGACGAGGGCCCGCACAAGCGGUGGAGCAUGUGGUUUAAUUCGAAGCAACGCGAAGAACCUUACCAGGUCUU